rnacentral:lncRNA from 1 species
UUUACUUGGAAAAAUAUAGUCCGUAUGUGCCUCAGCGAUUUUUAAAAUCUAAGGAAAUGCUCUAUGCAGAAAAAUACAUAUCUAAUCUAGGGGGUAUAUGUAAUAGCGGUAGAUAAAUAAUAAUGUUUAGAUUCAGGCAGUAUACUAUAGUCUGCCUUCUGGAGAGGGGGCCUAUGCUUGCUGAGUUCUUUGUAUGGUGCCUUCAGGGAGGCUGUGCGGUGCCGAGCGGAUGUACGGCGAGGUCUUCAUAAUGGCGUCAAGUCACCCUUGCCAUAUGGAUCAUAUGUAAGCUCUUCCUGCUAACCUAGAGGAGUACAUUUUGAUGCUUCAAGUCUGAACCUAUGUAACUUGUGAACUAAUGCCUCCCUGAGUGUGUGUGUGUGCGCGCACUAUGUUAAAUCAAACGCCUUCAGACUGCUGUGAAGUAAUGCCACUUGUCAUAUUGACCAAAUUUCAUUGCUUGAUGGCCAUUUAGAGUUGUCAAAAAUCUGGGACUGUGAAGUCCAUUUACAUUGUCAAAAAUCUCGGACUGUUUUCAGAGUUGCUACAACAAUGGAAUUUUCAGUUUGACAAAACCGUUUAAACUGAAAAUCUGGGACUUCACAUUUGCUACAACAGAGUUGUCAAAAAUUCAGUUUACACUGUUAGUUUGACAAAAACUGUCCAAACUGAAAAUUCAGUUAUAAUGGUGUAAGCAUUGUUAAUCUUUGUGGAUAAUUGUGGAUGCUGUGAAGUGAUUUAGAUGUCUGCUUUGCUGUGCAUACUGGCAUCAAAUAAUUCCAACUUAAUCAGUAGAAAAUUGGUAACUCAUGUAGGUUGGCAUCAAAUUAUUGCCAGUAAUACAUUUAUUGGCAAUCAGUACAUGAUCAGUGACUGAAUUAGUACAUGCAUAAUCAUCCCAACUCCCUUGUUCCAUACAACUGUAGAAAUAUAGUCCACAAUAUGUUGAUUUGCAUCUUGUUUGAGCUAGCUGGCACUGUACGGUUCAGAUGUUGUAGGCUGCAAGCAUCAAAGUUGAAGAGGCUAUUAACAGAAAUAAUUUUCUCAUAUUCUUAUUUUUUCUUCAAGAGUAAUUUGUUUUGUUAUCAAUGGUCUAAGAUUUGGUCCUUGAUUAAAACUGUCAUGCCUUCUUCUUUUUGCUUGUUCUAAUCUGCGAAGUAGUGACUGGUCAGGUUGACCUUUUUUUUCAAAAAUGAAAAAAAAUUCUACUCCUAGAUAAUACAUUUACAGUACUAAAAAAUUGUAAACUGGAACCAGCUAGUUUCUUCUUUGAUUUAUGUGCCGCUUGAAGGUGCAUAUAUGUAACUAAUGGCCCAUAGGUUACCAUUCUGUGUGAUGUGUCAUCCAUGGACACACUUUUCUCCUCUUGUAUUCCAAUCACACCCUGUGGUGACCUUGGUUCAGCCAAGAGCAUGUGGUGAUAGAUGUGUCCUCUUGUUUGACAAAAAUUUAUUCAAAACUUUGCUUUACUGAACGCAAUUUGCCCUGUUUUGUCUGAACUUGGUUCAACCUGGAAAAUAUACUCCAUUCUUACUGAAACUUACUGAACUAACAGUAGGAGCAGGGCAAAAUGGAGCUGCAACCAAGCUAACAAGAACCAAUCUAAAGUUCUGAAGCUUACUGAAUCAAGAUGCAAGAAGAUGAGGAUGCAACCAAUGCUAUACUCCAUUUUUAUUUACUGAAUCU